rnacentral:rRNA from 1 species
UACGGAGGGAGCUAGCGUUGUUCGGAAUUACUGGGCGUAAAGCGCGCGUAGGCGGCUCUGUAAGUUAGAGGUGAAAGCCCGGGGCUCAACUCCGGAAUUGCCUUUAAGACUGCAUCGCUUGAAUCCGGGAGAGGUGAGUGGAAUUCCGAGUGUAGAGGUGAAAUUCGUAGAUAUUCGGAAGAACACCAGUGGCGAAGGCGGCUCACUGGACCGGUAUUGACGCUGAGGUGCGAAAGCGUGGGGAGCAAACAGG